CCUGCGAACAGAGAGGGGAAGAAAGAAGUGUGCAUACAUGGGGGGAAAAGCCCAUAAAAUACUUAGUAUCAGUUCUGCACUUAAUUGUUAGGAAGUAGUACCAAUUUCUCAAUGUUUUGCUUGACAGCUUUUUCUGCCAGUAGCAUUUUUUUGUUUGUUGUUUUUAAUAACUGUUACAAGGUCACUGCAGCACAUGCUCUGACAAAAGACUGCAUAGUGCUUGGAUAGUGUUUCUUGGUACCUAUUGUCAUUUAUUAGUUUUCAAAGCAUUCUUUCAUUGAAAUCUGUAUCUUUGGAAAGAAUGCGAUUUUUUUUGUUGUUUGUGUUCUUACAUUUCUUAUGUCUUUCCCUUUACUUUGAAAAACAAACAAAAUAAAUAGAACCUAUAGCCAUAUUAGAUCAGGCAAUACCCAGAAGAGAUCAGAUUCUUGUUUGUACCUUACAAAAAAAAAAUAUGUAUGCAUAAUAAUAUAUUUCGUGUUAUUUUUGGUAAAUUUCCAGUUACAGAAGAUAUUUUUAAGUAAAAUAUGUAUGGAUCUUUUUAUGGUAAUUAAGAUAUGUUGGGCUUUCUUAAAAAUCAAAUUCCAGUGGAAUUAAAUUACGAAUGUAAAUGAGAAAAACCCAAGCCUAGUCAUGAAAGUGUAAGCAGUUUCAGAUUAUAAAUUAUGCUUAAAAAGGUGGUAUCUGACCAUUUUGUAUUUAUAUGUAAAUAUAAAUACAUGUUGCUGCAUCACUAAUGGCAUUAAAAAGAGGGUGACUUAAGUGUUGGAUGUCUGAAAAUUCUGCCUCUGUGGACCGGUGUUCCCCAGGGCUGCAGCGGCGAUGCUGUCAUCAGAACGGCAGCCCUGAAGAAACACACGGGUGAAGUUGAGCAGACUCUGUUCCCGGGCAGGAGCUGCAGCCGGGGAAAGGCGCUCAAAUCCUCACUGGCAUCCGCUGCUUCUGGUGCACGUAAGCACAGGAAAUCCAGGCAUCUUGCAUGAAAUACCAGGAAACGUGCCUCGUGUGAACACUUAAAGGGAGCAGAAGCUGCAGGUUGGCUUCCCUGCUGCAGAGGCACAAAACUGCAGAGAGUACCCUGAAGGUGCACAGUUUGCACUUCAGUAGACUUUUGUCAUGUUGUUAAUCUUCAACGUCUAGCCUCCUUUCUCAACAGAAGCACAGAAAUGUUUUAAUUCUUGUCUGUCUAGACUAAGUCAGAUUGCUCGCAUUGAACAGAUCGCUGUAGGAAGGCACUUCUGAAAUAGUGCACACUGAUUUUUUCAAGCCAGGAAAAUGAUACUUCAGUGGUGGGAAGACGUGAAUGUAAUGGGGAAGGGGAGCAGAACAGAGGAAAAAGAUUUUUUUAUAACUUUGAAAUUGCCAGAGCUUAAACAGGGUAUGUCCGAGUGCUCUCCACCACCACCCUCAAGCAAAGGUAUGAACUGUCUUUUAUUUUUUCUUUUUUUUUAAGAAAUUAGUUUUCCUAAUGAAAUCUAUGAUUACUUUAACAACUUUAUGAUGUCACUGAGAUACUAAAUAAAAGUUGUCUUUUUGAUCA